rnacentral:tRNA from 1 species
UGUAGAUUAAAUUGUAAAUUGUAAGGCUGUUAACCUUAAGAUAAGUUUUUUUACAG